rnacentral:rRNA from 1 species
UCUGGUCAGGACGAACGCUGGCGGCGUGCCUAAUACAUGCAAGUCGAGCGAAUCGAUGGGAGCUUGCUCCCUGAGAUUAGCGGCGGACGGGUGAGUAACACGUGGGCAACCUGCCUAUAAGACUGGGAUAACUUCGGGAAACCGGAGCUAAUACCGGAUACGUUCUUUUCUCGCAUGAGAGAAGAUGGAAAGACGGUUUACGCUGUCACUUAUAGAUGGGCCCGCGGCGCAUUAGCUAGUUGGUGAGGUAAUGGCUCACCAAGGCGACGAUGCGUAGCCGACCUGAGAGGGUGAUCGGCCACACUGGGACUGAGACACGGCCCAGACUCCUACGGGAGGCAGCAGUAGGGAAUCUUCCGCAAUGGACGAAAGUCUGACGGAGCAACGCCGCGUGAACGAAGAAGGCCUUCGGGUCGUAAAGUUCUGUUGUUAGGGAAGAACAAGUACCAGAGUAACUGCUGGUACCUUGACGGUACCUAACCAG